CCGCAAGGGUAAGACCCCAGAAAGACUAUCUGGUUGAUAGGUCGAAGGUGUAAGUGCAGCAAUGUAUUUAGCUUAUCGAUACUAAUAGGUCGAGGACUUGACCAAUAUUUAUUUGAUGUUCAUUCACU
rnacentral:rRNA from 1 species